rnacentral:lncRNA from 1 species
GACAUGGGAGUUGGAAGGUACUCGUGGCCAUGUUUUUACUCUUCACUGGUGAGUUGGAAAAAAACAUUUAAGUUCAUCCUGGUUAGGUGGAUCCCUCCAUUCUUGACGAUAUGUAAACUGAAUACCAAUGGUUGUUCUCUAGGUAAUUCGGGAAGGAGUGGUUGUUGGGGGGGGGUUUGAGGAAUAGCUCGGGGAUGUUUUUGUUAGGUUUUGCGUGUUAUUGGGAUGUCAUGUCGAGUUUACAUUCAGAGUUGAAGGCUUUGUUAUUUGGAGUUAAGCUUUGUGUUAUGUGAGGUUUCUUUUGCUUGCAUUUGGAAUCAGAUUCUUUACUUCUAGUCCAAAUGGUUAAGGGGGUUAGUAGAUGUCCAUGGGGUUUGCAACGAGAGCUGGAUCAAUUGCUCACUUUUAGGCAUUUCUUUCAAUCCGUCACUCAUUGUUAUCGUCAAGCGAAUGUGCCUGCAGACCGCUUAUCUAAGGUUGGAACUGAGUUAGAGUCCAAUAUAGUGUAUGAUUCAUGGUUGCAAUUGCCACGAUUGGUUCGUGGAGACCUCAAGUUGGAUAGGUUAGGUUAUCCUAAUUUUCGGGUUUACUAAACUUUUGGAUUUCUGGAAUGGAACCUAGGACGUCCACAAUCAUUCAAAAAAAAAAGUGCCGGAAAAAAUUCUAAGAUGACCGAGGCUAAGGAGCUGGAAUUUUAACGCGUGUAACAAGAAUCUAGUUUAAUCUAAAAGGAAAGGAAUGAAAAGUUCACAAGCCUUAAUCUUUAAAUUUGGGUUGAAAAUAGUUUAACGUUAGUUUAAACACCUCACAAGACCUUUAAAUUUGAAGUACAUGUAUAUCUCCCUUGUUUGAGUUGAUAAAAUUGAUAAAUAUCGAAGAGAAAUAUAAUAAUGAUUUGCUGGAAUUUCACAUCUUGUUUAAUAAGAUAAGGAACUUGGUUUCUAGUGAUAUCAACCUUAAAUUGGUGAGAUUUUAACUCUUAAAACUUCUUUCCUUACACAUUAGAACUUUAGAACUUAUGUUUGGGAUUGUACAUAAAAUUCUUAAUCUUAAAAGUGUAAAUCAAAUGGGAGUUUUAAGUACUAGAUUGCUUGGAUUAGUUGAACUAUGUUUAGAGAAUCCUAAAACUCUAAGUAAACUUAUUAGAAUUCACAUUGAAAAUACUUGAAUAAUUGUAGUCGUUAUUUACCUCAGAAAUUGAGAGUGAUCAAGGGUUUAACCCAAAAAAUGAAGCUUAAUCGACCAUUAACGGUGAGUGUUUUCCGAAUUAUGUGUUAACUGUUUAUGUGUGCUUAUUAUGAAAUAUUGCUAAGUGAUUCAUUGCGAAGUGUUUUCAAUUGUCCCUCGCCUUCUAAGUCGAGGGUGUACUUUAUCGCACUUGACUUAGUUGAGCUUGAAGGUUGAUAAUUGAUCAAGUAAUAUUGUAAGUGUGCAUGACUGUAAGCCGGGUGUGUACUUUGUCACACUGGCUGAACUAGGCCCCAAAACCCUCUGUUCAACGGACUAUUCGAGCCAGCAAAGGGCUUGGUCGGGUAGGACGGUAGCUUUGGGUAAGUGUUUCGGUAUACUCGAGUAUUACCACAGAGUAGCAAAUCACUGAUAUUGAUAUGACCAUUUAAGUGAGGGAAGUGUUUAUUGUUUUGGAGGUUAUAAGGAGGAGUUCGGUGGAGUGUGUAGUGCAUUGAAGUGGCUCUAAUGCGAGCACCGUAUCCUUUUAAAAGUGAUUGUUUAGUGAAGUGUUUCAUCAAUUGCUUAAUGAAAGUGAUUAUACAGUGAAAUUAAAUGUGCACUACUUGCUUAAUUGUACUGAUUUAAGUGCUUAUUGAUUGUUGCUUGCAUGGAAACCUCACGGGCGUAAGCUCACCCUUUUACCUUUGUUUUCCUUACAGGAGUCGGAGAUUGAAGAGUGAUUGGAUUGAACUAGAAAGGUAUUUUAGGAAGAUCUGUUAUUUUGUGUAUAUAGUGUAGUCAUGGUCUCUUUUGAAUUUUGAGACGGUUGAAUUUUUGUUUGAGUUGGUGUGAUAUUAAGAUUGGAUAUUUAGAACAGGUAUUUUGUUUCUUUUAUUGGGCAAAUUUAUGUUUCAAACUGAUUGGAGAUGUACUUAAGAGUGAAUGUUCAGUUGUCCAAUGGUAAUGUUAUCUAUGAAGUUAAAGUGAGUAAGUGAGUCCUGACGAGAGCUAGACGGGCAAUCCGCUAACUUCUAGGGUAUGCCCUAGGAGAAGGUGGGGCGUCACAAGUGGUAUCAGAGCUCUUAAUGAGCUCAAGCCGGGAGAGGGUUCUCGGAUUGUGGGGAAUGGCCUGUUGAGUUUGAAAUGAAUUACCAUUUUUAUGGAAAAUUAGAUAUGUAUGUUGGAUGGGAAUCUCAAAUAUAGGUGAUUUACUCUUGGGACUGGCCAGCCUGAGUUAUGAAUUAUCUUAUUGUCAGAUUCUUGUAUCCGAGUACCAGAUAUUUCAUUCAAUGGUGUAUUUGCAAAAUUGGAAAGAAUUUAGCAUAUUGUAUUAUGACGUGACUAGAAAUCAUGACUAAAUUUGGAAAAGUAGAAUCGAAAGGAUCAAGUCUAGCUUUUGAAAGUUAAAAGUGAAGUCGUUCAAUAGUAAAUGGAUUAUAUGCCAUCUCUUACCCAAAAAUGUGGGUUUAAACCUAGAAUUUGAGUGAAAUUGUAGUUUAAGUAAGGACCAAGUGCGUCCUUUUGGCAGUGUGUUCUAGGGCAUUGGAUGACUAGUCACUGUGACUGUUCAAGAACUUACUUCUAUCUGGAUCGAGUGAUACUAGUUCAUGGGUAAAAGACAGGGGUUAGUGAUAGCAAAUGAGAGAGCUCAUAUUAAAAUGUAAGAAAUAAGGAAAUUCAUAAGGAUCUGACGUGAUAGGAUCCUAGAGCUGGAAACUGAUAUGAUAGAGGAACCUAUGGAAGUAGAACCGGAAGAAGGAAUUGGGUCUAGUGAGACUGUCCAAAAUUAGAUUGAUGAAGUUUAAGUUGAAUCUAAACUAAGGGAUGAGCUAUUAGCUAUGUGGUUAUAAUAAUUUGUGUAUUAUUGAAUUAUUUUCUUUCAUGUUUAUAAAGAUUGAAGUUUGAGUCAUGUAUGAAAAAGUGGGACUACCCGUGAAUUGUUUGGCUUUUAAAGUUGUAUGAAGUUGGUGUGUAAUGUAAUUUAUAUUGUGUGUAUGUAAUUUGAUGAUCAUGUGUUCAUUUUGUUAUAAUGCUGUAAUAUUUAUUAGUCCUUGGGAUUAAAUAAUCACUAACUUGAGUGAAAUUUGAUAACCAAAGUGGUGUGUAGAAACUAUGAGAUUAAGGUUGGAGAAAAAAAGAGAGGAGAGAUUGAAAGUUGAGCUUAUAACGAUGUUAUAAUUGUUGCAAGGGCCAAUGGUGUUUUCUAAGAUAGAUUUUUGACAAGGAUACUAUCAAUGAAAAAUUUAGAAGGAAGAUCAUGAAGAAUCUAAGAAUGGUGUUAUCGACUUUAAGGAAGCGUCAAUUGUGAGUGUGAAUUUCGAAUGGAAAAAAUAUCGUUUUUGGGGCAUGAUAUUUCAAUGACAGGAAUUGAAGAAUAAAUAAAUUCCUUAGUCAUAGUCCUAUGAGAGCAUCAUGGAAUGGAAGAAAUGACAUAGGAACUGGAAGAUAAAAAUGCGGAAAGAAUACUCGGAAUUCUUACGAUUAAAAGUACGAAAUUUCAAGGACGAAAUUUUUUUAAAGGGGGAAGAAUGUGAGAACUUGAGAAAAAUUAUAUGUAUGCUAUGAAUUUCUUUUAUUUUAAUUACUUUGAUAUUAGAAAUAUUAUAUAUAACGAAUAAAUGGUUAAAUUAAAUGCCUAAUUGAAUUCAUAUAAAAAUUGAAAACUUAGAAAUAUCCUAGAAUGGUGUAAAACAAUAUUAGUUAUAUAAAUCAAAUAAACAUAUUAUAUGCAUAUUGUAAUGAUAUGGUGUUAAUUGUCAGUAAUUUUAUUGUUAAUUUUCCCUUUGUUUUUGCCAAAUAUUGUUUUAAUUGUUAAUAUCUACUUAUAUUUGGUAUUUGGUCUCAAUUUCAGGGAGUGGAACUACAAAGUGCUAAAAAUGAGAAACUAUCUUGAGAAAAUGGCUCCAUAAGUGGGAGACUUCAAAAUGCUCCAUCCACCUGGCCCACAAGGAGAGAAACAAACGGAUUUCCUUUUCCUUUUGGGCUAAUGAAGAGUUGCCUGGUACGGAGAAGUCCUACUAGCAACAGGAAACAAGAGUCAAUUCGGUAGGGCCCACCUUUCGUACUUCGUUUUCUCAAUUCGGUGGGGGACCACGGAAGCAUUAGUCAUUGCUUAGAAACAAACGUACAGAGGCUAGAGUUUUCGUUUUGUGAGCAAUAAUUUAGUUUUCUUUCUUUUUCCUUUCAUGCGUGCCUUGUGUUCGACAAUAGUCCCGAAUAGAAAAACGGCUUUGACUUCUUGAUUAUUAGCGAAGAAAUAUGAUGUUUUUGAACUCAAUUGAAUUGUGUGGCGAUUUUCUCAUGAGGCUUGGCUAAGCCUUUCAUCUACUCAAGGAUCAACUUGACGGCACAGUCCCGAAUAUCUGUGAGAUC